AGGGAACGACAGGGGAGCGCAGGAGCGCUGAGAGUGCGGAACCACCCGCAGACCCUCGAACCUGAUCCGGUUUGCACCGGCGUAGGGAGUCGGGCUAUCUCGCCA
rnacentral:ncRNA from 2 species